rnacentral:snRNA from 1 species
AUCGCUUCUCUGCCUUUUGGCUAAGAUCAAGUGUAGUAUGUUGCAUUCCUAUAGUAGCAGAUACAUGUGUCUGCAAUUUUCAGAUCUUCCAAAGGAUGAUCUUUAAUAGACAUUGUAUGUGAUGAUAAGAAAAAAAAGAUUUUUUUCUUCCUGUUUGUUUUCCCUUUCUUAGAUUGUAGUAGUACUAGA